UAUGGAGCUGAUGGUAGAGGCCCAACUCUCAGGGCUGGUAGCAUCCUAUCAAAUUCAAUGAGUCCUCCAAAUCUUCUAUUUUUAGGAUCACAUGAGGAUUUUUACAAAAACAUGUUGCCUGUGCUUUAUCACUUUAUCUCAUUCUGAUUCAACAAUUUUUUGUCCCUAUUCUAGGUGCUAUGUGGUGAUACAGAAAGGAGCAAGACUUGGCACCUGCUUUAAAGAGGAAGUUGGCAAAACAAAGAGUUGUAUUUAUCUCAAAGCCUUUCUUAGAAUUCAAAGUAAAGGACAGAAGAGGAGCCACAUGUAUUAUGCCCAAGAAAUAAUCUGAUCACUAAGGGAGAAACAAAACGGUUGGGAAGAGGAAGAGACUCCAGAAUAAAACAGAACAU